GACGAACGCUGGCGGCGUGCUUAACACAUGCAAGUCGAACGGAAAGGCCCUGCUUUUGUGGGGUGCUCGAGUGGCGAACGGGUGAGUAACACGUGAGUAACCUGCCCUUGACUUUGGGAUAACUUCAGGAAACUGGGGCUAAUACCGGAUAGGAGCUCCUGCUGCAUGGUGGGGGUUGGAAAGUUUCGGCGGUUGGGGAUGGACUCGCGGCUUAUCAGCUUGUUGGUGGGGUAGUGGCUUACCAAGUCUUUGACGGGUAGCCGGCCUGAGAGGGUGACCGGCCACAUUGGGACUGAGAUACGGCCCAGAGUCCUACGGGAGGCAGCAGUGGGGAAUAUGGCACAAUGGGCGGAAGCCUGAUGCAGCAACGCCGCGUGCGGGAUGACGGCCUUCGGGUUGUAAACCGCUUUAGCCUGUGACGAAGCGUGAGUGACGGUAAUGGGUAAAGAAGCACCGGCUAACUACGUG
rnacentral:rRNA from 1 species